UACGGGGGGGGGCAAGCGUUUGUUCGGAAUUACUGGGCGUAAAGGGCUCGUAGGUGGCCAACUAAGUCAGACGUGAAAUCCCUCGGCUUAACCGGGGAACUGCGUCUGAUACUGGAUGGCUUGAGUUCGGGAGAGGGAUGCGGAAUUCCAGGUGUAGCGGUGAAAUGCGUAGAUAUCUGGAGGAACACCGGUGGCGAAGGCGGCAUCCUGGACCGACACUGACGCUGAGGAGCGAAAGCCAGGGGAGCAAACGGGG
rnacentral:rRNA from 1 species